UGGAUAUUUUAGCGAGGUCGAGUAGGAGCGUGAGAAGCGCGGGCACGGCGGCCUUGUCCUGCUUGAGGAAGGCGGCGACGGAUGCUAGCGCUCCUCGCCGCCAUCGACCUGCAAGGAGGAGCGCCGUGUUGGACACUGCCAUCUCCGACGCUGCUGGUACUCCUCCGCCGCUACGAGUGCCCCGUCACCUGCGCCCAGGUCAGCCGCGAAGUCGAGCUCCCCAUGAUUGACCUGCAAGAUGUACUGUGGUCAAGAACUGCUCUCUGCCGCGGGAGUAGAUUGGAAAGGCUGCUGCUGCUCCUGGACAAUGCGGCUGCUGCUGCCACUACCACUCGCCGAUUCGGGCAUGAGCACAUUCUUGGAGUGGAUCUGCAUUUCAGAAAGUUAACAAGUGGGAGUACAUGGAGUACCACAUUUUAAGUCGAGGAGAAGAUGGUGCCUGCUCCGUGAUGAUGCCACCAGCACCUACGACUUCCUCGACCACCACCACCAUGAUGACGACUUCCUCGAAUGUGGCAGGAGCUAGCAUAUUAGGGAUGAAACAUACAAGCCCAGUGAACACUGGAUUCACGCACAACCACAGGAAAUCCCUCCAAACUAAACUAACCUGUGAAUCCCGCUUCGGCGAGGCGGGUGAGGAGGAGGGUUACCAGAGGCUGGAGGAAAAUGAGAGCAGGGACUGCGAGCCGAGCAUCCCCGUCGCCGGCGAGCCGAGCAUCCCCAGACGGUAGCAAGGGACAAGGGAGCAGUAGGCACUACGUACCUCCAUUAUUAGAGUUAAAUGUCAUGUCUGGACUGACCUUUCCUUCUUCCUGGGCAGCCAACACUUUGUAGUUGGAAAUAGUAUCAGUUUACACUCCUGAUGAAGUGGUAAAAAUACAUAAUUGAGAAAUAGAUUUACCCUGAUAA